CAAGCUCGUGUCUGUGGGUCCGU
rnacentral:ncRNA from 3 species